GCGACCCCAGGAUGGGCGAGGCCACCCGCCGAGUUUAAGCAUAUCAAUAAGCGGAG
rnacentral:rRNA from 3 species